rnacentral:rRNA from 1 species
UACGUAGGGAGCAAGCGUUGUCCGGAAUCAUUGGGCGUAAAGCGCGCGUAGGCGGCCCCGUAAGUCCGCUGUGAAAGUCAAAGGCUCAACCUUUGAAAGCCGGUGGAUACUGUGGGGCUAGAGUACGGAAGAGGCGAGUGGAAUUCCUGGUGUAGCGGUGAAAUGCGUAGAUAUGCGGAGGAACACCGAUGGCGAAGGCAAUCCCCUGGGCCUGCACUGACGCUCAUGCACGAAAGCGUGGGGAGCAAACAGG